AGCUCCUUUUACCACAUGUCGUGGGUUCACAGCAACAGCUUCCAAAUGUGCAUCACACCUGGAAUCAACACCAGACCUUUUAGCUGCUUCAUUGAUGAAGAAAUAAUGAAGGAAUAGCCCACCCCUGCCCAUGAAACAGCUUUUGAGUAAAUUGUCCACUUUUAUUCCCUUGAAAAAGAGAGGGUCUACAGAUUAAAGAGCAGUAAUUCCUAAACCCUUCCUCCAAUUUAAAUGUGAAUGCCCUAAAAUUAAUGCUGAGCACUUUAAGUCAAUAUUCAUUAUUUAAUUGUAACUUGAGUUUAUAUUGGUAAACAACCAAAAUAACGAAACAUGUAUCAGCAUCCAAA